rnacentral:rRNA from 1 species
GAUGAACGCUGGCGGCGUGCUUAACACAUGCAAGUCGAACGAUGAAGCCAGCUUGCUGGUGGAUUAGUGGCGAACGGGUGAGUAACACGUGAGUAACCUGCCCUUAACUCUGGGAUAAGCCUGGGAAACUGGGUCUAAUACCGGAUAUGACUCCUCAUCGCAUGGUGGGGGGUGGAAAGCUUUUGUGGUUUUGGAUGGACUCGCGGCCUAUCAGCUUGUUGGUGAGGUAAUGGCUCACCAAGGCGACGACGGGUAGCCGGCCUGAGAGGGUGACCGGCCACACUGGGACUGAGACACGGCCCAGACUCCUACGGGAGGCAGCAGUGGGGAAUAUUGCACAAUGGGCGGAAGCCUGAUGCAGCGACGCCGCGUGAGGGAUGACGGCCUUCGGGUUGUAAACCUCUUUCAGUAGGGAAGAAGCGUAAGUGACGGUACCUGCAGAAGAAGCGCCGGCUAACUACGUGCCAGCCGCCGCAGUAAGAC